AGUGUAAUCUGAAGAGUUCAACAAAAGCUCCGGUGCUCUGUACCAUCUGGUUACUACAUAUUCUGUCAUAUUCUCGUUCUCUACGUUUGGCCUUGCAAGACCAAAAUCACAUAUCUUAAGAUCACAAUUUGCAUUUAGCAAGAGGUUACUUGGUUUGAGAUCUCUAUGAAUAACAUGCGCGGAAUGUAUGUACUUUAGCCCACGGAGAAGCUGAUACAUGAAGUACUGGCAAUGAUCCUCUGAUAAACCUUGGUUUGAUCUAAUUAUUUGGUGAAGAUCAGUAUCCAUGAGUUCAGUAGCAAUGUAAACAUCAGAAAACUCCCUUCGUAAGGGCGGAGGAAUCACAUCUCUUAAACCAAUGACGUUUUCAUGGUCUAAAUGGCGAAGAAGCUUAAUUUCACGGAGCGUCCUCUUAGCAUCCAUGUAAUUAUCAAAAGCAUUGGCGAUUUUCUUAACUGCAACCAUCUCAUUCAGCUCCGCAUUAAACACAGAGCAGACGAUUCCAUAAGCGCCACGUCCAAUAGGCAUGAUAGGAGGUUGAUACUUGUUAGUAAUCUCAAAAAGAUUACCAAAAAUGUCAUACUGAACAUAUUGUCCAGCAUGAGUGACAAUUUUAGGAAAAUCAGGAAAUUGAGCAGCACCCAUAUUAGCAUCAACCAUUAUUGAUAGAAA
rnacentral:misc_RNA from 1 species